rnacentral:rRNA from 1 species
GACGAACGCUGGCGGCGUGCCUAAUACAUGCAAGUCGAGCGCAGGAAACUGACGGAACUCUUCGGAGGGAAAGCAGCGGAAUGAGCGGCGGACGGGUGAGUAACACGUAAGGAACCUGCCUCAAGGAUUGGGAUAACUCCGAGAAAUCGGAGCUAAUACCGGAUAGUUCAACGGACCGCAUGGUCCGCUGAUGAAAGGCGCUCCGGCGUCACCUUGAGAUGGCCUUGCGGUGCAUUAGCUAGUUGGUGGGGUAACGGCCCACCAAGGCGACGAUGCAUAUCCGACCUGAGAGGGAGAUCGGCCACACUGGGACUGGGACACGGCCCAGACUCCUACGGGAGGCAGCAGUAGGGAAUCUUCCACAAUGGACGAAAGUCUGAUGGAGCAACGCCGCGUGAGUGAUGAAGGUUUUCGGAUCGUAAAACUCUGUUGUAAGGGAAGAACACGUACGAGAGGAAAUGCUCGUACCUUGACGGUACCUUACGAGAAAGCCACGGCUAACUACGUGCCAGCCGCCGCGGUAA